GAUGAACGCUGGCGGCGUGCCUAAUACAUGCAAGUCGAGCGAACAGAUAAGGAGCUUGCUCCUUUGACGUUAGCGGCGGACGGGUGAGUAACACGUGGGUAACCUACCUAUAAGACUGGAAUAACUCCGGGAAACCGGGGCUAAUGCCGGAUAAUAUUUAGAACCGCAUGGUUCUAAAGUGAAAGAUGGUUUUGCUAUCACUUAUAGAUGGACCCGCGCCGUAUUAGCUAGUUGGUGGGGUAAUGGCUUACCAAGGCAACGAUACGUAGCCGACCUGAGAGGGUGAUCGGCCACACUGGAACUGAGACACGGUCCAGACUCCUACGGGAGGCAGCAGUAGGGAAUCUUCCGCAAUGGGCGAAAGCCUGACGGAGCAACGCCGCGUGAGUGAUGAAGGUCUUCGGAUCGUAAAACUCUGUUAUUAGGGAAGAACAAAUGUGUAAGUAACUGUGCACGUCUUGACGGUACCUAAUCAGAAAGCCACGGCUAACUACGUGCCAGCCGCCGCGUAA
rnacentral:rRNA from 1 species